rnacentral:rRNA from 1 species
GAUGAACGCUGGCGGCGUGCCUAAUACAUGCAAGUCGAGCGAACAGACGAGUAGCUUGCUCCUCUGACGUUAGCGGCUGACGGGUGAGUAACACGUGGAUAACCUACCUAUAAUACUGGGAUAACUUCGGGAAACCGGAUCUAAUACCUGAUAAUAUAUUUAACCGCAUGGUUCAAUAGUGAAAUACGGUUUUGCUUUCACUUAUAGAUGUAUCCGCGCCGCAUUAGCUAGUUGGUAAGGUAACGGCUUACCAAGGCAACGAUGCGUAGCCGACCUGAGAUGGUGAUCGGCAACAAUGGAAAUGAGAAACGGUCAAGACACCUACGGGAGGAAGCAGUAGGGAAUGUUCCGCAAUGGGCGAAAGCCUGAAGGAGCAACGCCGCGUGAGUGAUGAAGGUCUUCGGAUCGUAAAACUCUGUUAUUAGGGAAGAAAAAAAGUGUAAGUAAAAAUGCACGUAUUGACGGUACCUAAAGAGAAAGCAACGGCUAACUACGUG